ACUCAGUGGAAAUGGAGUUCUUCACAGAGUACAGAGAGGCAAGCCAGUACCAGACGGAGUAGUUGAUGCAGCUGUAAACACCCUAUAAGGUAUCCUUGCCAAAUUUAAGUUCCAUUCUGGUUGAAGCUUCUUUACUUCCUUGUCAUGAAAGAGAAAAUUUCCACCCUUGCUACAGAUUGUCAACUCGGUUGUGAUGAAUCUUGUUGUUGAAGAUGGUUGCCACAUCCAAGGUUCUGUUGUAUGUAAUAAUGUUCAGCUGCAAGAACGAGCGGUUAUUGAGAGAUUG
rnacentral:lncRNA from 1 species